rnacentral:rRNA from 1 species
UACAGAGGGUGCGAGCGUUGUCCGGAAUCACUGGGCGUAAAGGGCGCGUAGGCGGCCUGAUAAGUAGGGGGUGAAAUCUUGCGGCUCAACUGCAAGGCUGCCUCCUAAACUGCCGGGCUGGAGCACGGUAGAGGCAGAUGGAAUUCCCGGUGUAGCGGUGGAAUGCGUAGAGAUCGGGAAGAACAUCGGUGGCGAAGGCGGUCUGCUGGGCCGUUGCUGACGCUGAGGCGCGACAGCGUGGGGAGCAAACAGG